GAGGGUAUAGCUCAGUGGUAGAGUGCGUGCUUAACAUGCAUGAGGUCCUGGGUUCAAUCCCCAGCACCUUCA
rnacentral:tRNA from 1 species